rnacentral:rRNA from 1 species
AGCGAACGCUGGCGGCAGGCUUAAUACAUGCAAGUCGAGCGCCUGUAGCAAUACAGGAGCGGCAGACGGGAGAGUAACACGUGGGAACGUGCCCUUUGGUUCGGAACAACACAGGGAAACUUGUGCUAAUACCGGAUACGCCCUUACGGGGAAAGAUUUAUCGCCAAAGGAUCGGCCCGCUUCUGAUUAGCUAGUUGGUGGGGUAAUGGCCCACCAAGGCGACGAUCAGUAGCUGGUCUGAGAGGAUGAUCAGCCUCAUUGGGACUGAGACACGGCCCAAACUCCUACGGGGGGCAGCAGUAGGGAAUAUUGGACAAUGGGGGCAACCCUGAUCCAGCCAUGCCGCGUGAGUGAUGAAGGCCUUAGGGUUGUAAAGCUCUUUCGGCGGGGAAGAUAAUGACGGUACCCGCAUAAGAAGCCCCGGCUAACUUCGUGCCAGCCGCCGCAGUAAAAC